rnacentral:rRNA from 1 species
GGGAAACUGAGGAUAAUACCCCAUAGAUGUGGUGUGCUGGAAUGCUUCCACGUUCAAAGCUCCGGCGCUCCAGGAUGAGUCUGCGGCCUAUCAGGCUGUAGUGGGUGUAACGGACCCACUAACCGACGACGGAUACGGGUUGUGAGAGCAAUAACCCGGAGAUGAUAUCUGAGACACGAUAUCAGGCCCUACGGGGCGCAGCAGGCGCCGAAACCUUCACACUGCGCGAAAGCGCGAUGAGGGGAAUCCAAAGUGCUUGCCGGAAGGUGUAAGCUGUUUUUUAUGUCCAAAAAGGAAAAAAGAGAAAGGGCUGGUUAAAAACGGGUGCCCAGCCGCCGGGGUAAAUACCUGCGGCUAAGGGUGGGGACCCGUUUUUAUUUGGCCCUAAAAAGGUCCCGUGGCCGUGUUUAUUAAAAUGCCUAGGAAAUUUGUAUGGCUAAAACCAUACAAAUUUCUGGGUAAGACUUGUAAAAUUGGAAAUCGGGAAAAAGCUAGAAGUCCUCCUGGGGAAAAAGGUGAAAUUUCUGUAAUCCCUAGGGGGGCCCACCAUUGGCGGAGGCCUCCUAGCUAGAAACGAGUUUAACGGUAGAGGGAGAAACCCUGGGGCCGCAAACGGGAAUUAGAUCCCCCGGUAGUCCAGGGUGUAACACGCUGCGGGCUUGGUGGCCGGAAGUUCCUACGUGGGCGUCCGGUGCCGGAAAAAAAUUGUUCAGGCCUGCCUGCUUGGGGAAGUACGGUCCGCAAGACUGAAACUUUAA